rnacentral:lncRNA from 10 species
AUUUUGUAUUUUUAGUAGAGAUGGGGUUUCACCAUGUUGGCAAGGCUGGUCUCCUGACCUCAGAUGAUCCACUGGCCUCGGCCUCCCAAAGUGCUGGGAUUACAGGCAUGAGCCACCUUGCCCAGCCCAUACUUAUUUUUUUGUUUGUUUAGAUGGGUUCUCACUCCGUUGCCCAGGCUGGAGUGCAAUGGCAUGAUCUCAGCUCACUGCAACUUCUGCCUCCUGGGUUCAAACAAUUCUUAUUCCCCAGUCUCCCAAGUAGUUGGGACUAUAGAUGCGUGCCACCACACCCAGCUAAUUUUUGCAUUUUUAGUAGAGAUGGGGUUUCACCAUGUUGGCCAAGCUGGUCUCGAACUCCUGACCUCAAGUGAUCUGUCCGCCUUGGCCUCUCAAAGUGCUGAUAUUACAGGCGUGAGCCACUGCACCAGGCCUGUAUACCAUAUAUUACAUAUUUAUAUAUAUUUAUCUGUCCUCUACUGGAUUAACUUGGCUUUAACCAAUUCAAUACUUCAAUGUUUAAGGGAUGCCACCUCUGUGGUUAGCAUAUAAAGAUUGUGACUUCCAUCUUGCCAUCCAGCCUUCUGCCUUGCUGAUUGAUGAUUGAAAAAAAAUCACCUAUUUUGUUAUUAUGACUGUGGAAUGUCUUUUGUUCAUUUUAAUAUUUGUGUCACCAAAAGGAUCAACGUGGAAUGGAUAUGGCAUUAAAGGAGAAUGUCAAAUACUGCAUGGGAUGGCUAAGGCCUGUUCCACACAUUCUGGGGUGCCCCUGUGAUAAUAAUAGGUGCUGAUAAACUUCCAUGUUGAGAAAGUUCACAUAUCGAGAGACUAAUAGUGGGCCUUAGCCAGCAGUCAAUGAGAAACUAAAGCCCUCAGUUCAGCAGUCUGUGAGAAGCCAAAUUCUACCCACAAUGAUGUGAGUUCAACAUGAGUUCUUCCCCGCUGGAGUCUUCAGAUGAGACCUCAGCCCUGGCUGGCACCUUGAUGGCACCUUGUAAAUAAACUCAAUGCAGAGGAUUCAACUAUUUUCUAAAUUCUGAUCCACAGAAGGAUUGCUGCUACAACCCUUUCAGACACAGCAUAGAUGAAUGAACCAGAGUAAAACGUCCAUCAUCUGCUCAUAAAGCCUGCCAAAAUGUAUCAAAUUAAGGAAGAGGAGGAAUUUGACAACCAAAUCUGUAGUUUCUGCAUCAAGCAAAAUAGAUUUUCUUCACUUUGUCUGAGAAUCGCUUUGCUUUCAUCAACAAUCUUCAUCUUUCUACAAUUCAUCACAUCAGUACACAAUUAGCAAAUCCUCCUACCAUCUGGGAGGCCCUGUGCUAAGCAGGGUGUGAGAAUCUUAGAAAUAUUAUGCCAUUCCAGGUACUUCUAAUUUUCUGAGCUACAUAUACAUGGAAAGUUCUGUAGCAAGGUUUCUCAAGCUGAGCACAAUUGAUAUUUGUGGCUGCAAAAUUCUUUGUUGCAGAGGGAUAUCAUGUGCAUUUCAGGGUGCUGGACAGCAUCCCUGGCCUCCAUCCACUAGAUGCUAGUAUCAUUCCCCCACUCACCCACUUGUGACAAUCAAAAAUGUCUUCAGACAUUGCUCAGUGUCUCUUGGGGGACAAAAUCACUAUCAUUGAGAACCAUUGCUCUAAAGCAAAACACAAACAAACAAACCAUCAAAAAAAUGACAAAGAAUCCCUUCUUCAAUUUGCACAACCUUGAAAGCCACCCUUGGUAAUUCUUCUCACCACGUUCCCACAGGCAUUUUGAAUCUCUGCGAUAUGUCCAACUCCAGUGCCUUUCAGAAUGCUUACCAGUUCUGGCACCUGUGUCAUAAUUGCAGUAGGCUCCCCAGUCAUUUUGACAAGCAAACACUCACUGUGUAUUUGCAAAUACUCUUGGUGGAGGAGAGAAGGGAGUGUUGAGGUUCCUGGCCAAGAACCACUGUGAAACCGGUAGGUGUUGGCUGAUCAAAUACUGCUAGUUGCUGACUAGAGUGUUUCAUGUUCCUUCCACAGGAGAUGCUUUCUUCUUCGUGGACUGAUGCAUAGUCCCCAAAACCUUCUUCAACACGGCAUCAGCGCAAUCUCCUUUGACCCACCCAUUUCCCCCAAAAUCCCUUCCUCAGAAAAAUUCAUCAUCCCACCUCUCUACAUUAAAAGCACCUUAACCUUCUAACAGCACGUAAUUGGCCUACUUGCAAUGGCACACACAGUGUGUGUGUGUGUGUGUGUGUGUGUGUGCGUGUGUGUGUGUGGGUUGGUGGGGGUCGCCAUCCAUCACACUGUGGAUUCCAUUUCCAUAUCUGUCCCUAAUGGCUUGCUUUAAAGCUAUUUGUUUUAUAUUUAUUUUUUAUUCUAUUUUAUUUUAUUGAGACAGGGCCUCACUCUUUCACCCAGGCUGGAGUGCAAUGGCACGAUCUCUGCUC